GACGAACGCUGGCGGCGUGCUUAACACAUGCAAGUCGAGCGGUAAGGCCCUUUCGGGGUACGACGAGCGGCGAACGGGUAGGAGUAACAACGUGGGUGGACCUCGCCCUCCAGCUCUGGGAGUAAAGCCUCGGGAAACCGGGGUACCGUAAUAACUGGAGUAUGACUCCAUGACGCAUGUUGUGGGGUGGAAAGCCUUGUGCGGCUGAGGAUGGGCCCGGCCGGCCUAUCAGCUUGUUGGUGGGGUGAUGGCCUACCAAGGCGACGACGGGUAGCCGGCCUGAGAGGG
rnacentral:rRNA from 1 species